GGGUUGUGAGGUUAAGCGACUAAGCGUACACGGUGGAUGCCCUGGCAGUCAGAGGCGAUGAAGGACGUGCUAAUCUGCGAAAAGCGCCGGCGAGGUGAUAUGAACCUUUGACCCGGCGAUGUCCGAAUGGGGAAACCCAGUGUGUUCCGACACACUAUCGUUAACUGAAUACAUAGGUUAACGAGGCGAACCGGGGGAACUGAAACAUCUAAGUACCCCGAGGAAAAGAAAUCAACCGAGAUUCCCCCAGUAGCGGCGAGCGAACGGGGAGCAGCCCGGAGUCUGAAUCAGCUUGUGUGUUAGUGGAACGGUCUGGAAAGUCCGACGGUACAGGGUGAUAGUCCCGUACACGAAAAUGCACAUGCUGUGAACUCGAAGAGUAGGGCGGGACACGUGGUAUCCUGUCUGAAUAUGGGGGGACCAUCCUCCAAGGCUAAAUACUCCUGACUGACCGAUAGUGAACCAGUACCGUGAGGGAAAGGCGAAAAGAACCCCGGCGAGGGGAGUGAAAAAGAACCUGAAACCGUGUACGUACAAGCAGUGGGAGCACCUUCGGGUGUGACUGCGUACCUUUUGUAUAAUGGGUCAGCGACUUAUAUUCUGUAGCAAGGUUAACCGUAUAGGGGAGCCGAAGGGAAACCGAGUCUUAACUGGGCGUUAAGUUGCAGGGUAUAGACCCGAAACCCGGUGAUCUAGCCAUGGGCAGGUUGAAGGUUGGGUAACACUAACUGGAGGACCGAACCGACUAAUGUUGAAAAAUUAGCGGAUGACCUGUGGCUGGGGGUGAAAGGCCAAUCAAACCGGGAGAUAGCUGGUUCUCCCCGAAAGCUAUUUAGGUAGCGCCUCGUGAACUCAUCUUCGGGGGUAGAGCACUGUUUCGGCUAGGGGGCCAUCCCGGCUUACCAACCCGAUGCAAACUACGAAUACCGAAGAAUGUUAUCACGGGAGACACACGGCGGGUGCUAACGUCCGUCGUGAAGAGGGAAACAACCCAGACCGCCAGCUAAGGUCCCAAAGUCAUGGUUAAGUGGGAAACGAUGUGGGAAGGCACAGACAGCCAGGAUGUUGGCUUAGAAGCAGCCAUCAUUUAAAGAAAGCGUAAUAGCUCACUGGUCGAGUCGGCCUGCGCGGAAGAUGUAACGGGGCUAAACCAUGCACCGAAGCUGCGGCAGCGACGCUUAUGCGUUGUUGGGUAGGGGAGCGUUCUGUAAGCCGUUGAAGGUGUGCUGUGAGGCAUGCUGGAGGUAUCAGAAGUGCGAAUGCUGACAUAAGUAACGAUAAAGCGGGUGAAAAGCCCGCUCGCCGGAAGACCAAGGGUUCCUGUCCAACGUUAAUCGGGGCAGGGUGAGUCGACCCCUAAGGCGAGGCCGAAAGGCGUAGUCGAUGGGAAACAGGUUAAUAUUCCUGUACUUGGUGUUACUGCGAAGGGGGGACGGAGAAGGCUAUGUCAGCCGGGCGACGGUUGUCCCGGUUUAAGCAUGUAGGCGGAGGUUCCAGGUAAAUCCGGUACCUUAUUAACGCUGAGGUGUGAUGACGAGGCACUACGGUGCUGAAGUGAUAAAUGCCCUGCUUCCAGGAAAAGCCUCUAAGCAUCAGGUAACACGAAAUCGUACCCCAAACCGACACAGGUGGUCAGGUAGAGAAUACCAAGGCGCUUGAGAGAACUCGGGUGAAGGAACUAGGCAAAAUGGUGCCGUAACUUCGGGAGAAGGCACGCUGAUAUGUAGGUGAAG
rnacentral:rRNA from 1 species